UACGUAGGGGGCAAGCGUUGUCCGGAAUGACUGGGCGUAAAGGGCGUGUAGGCGGUUGGUUAAGUCUGGAGUGAAAGUCCAGCUUUCAAGGUUGGAAUUGCUUUGGAUACUGAUCGACUUGAGUGCGGAAGAGGUAAGUGGAAUUCCCAGUGUAGCGGUGAAAUGCGUAGAGAUUGGGAGGAACACCAGUGGCGAAGGCGACUUACUGGGCCGUAACUGACGCUGAGGCGCGAAAGCGUGGGGAG
rnacentral:rRNA from 1 species